GGUUACCCAGCGGGAUAAUGGUUCACUGCUUACAUUUUUCUUUGAAGAAUGCUUCGAAGAAAAUUUUAUGUACAAUUCUUCGAUACCAGGUAAUGCAUAAAAGUAAGCUAUGCGGAAUAAUGUUUCCCCGCUUACAUUUUUCUUUGAAGAAUACUUCGAAAAAAAUUCUAUCUAGAAUUCUUCGAUACCAGGUAAUGCAUAAAAGUAAGCUAUGCGGCUAAAUUCUACUGUGUUCAUAUUUACAAGUCAAGUAAGUACGUGAAAAACGACAAAUACAAAUUGAUGGAAUAAAAUUUAUAAGUAAAUUUUUUCAUUAUUUCGUCAAAUCAUCAAGCAAAAAGUUGGUUACUAUUUGGUAAGUAUUUCGUGUUUUUAACAUUGAAGGACAUAGCUUCAAAUUUAUAAACAUACUCUUUCAACUUUUUUGUAGAAUGUGUGAAAGUUGAAGGCUUCACCGAAUCGGAGUAUAUUCACCAAAUUCAAAAAGUUAUCAAACUCGCCAAACGCAGUUUCUUCAAGUCUCGUUGCUUGAAAAAAAAAACGGCAAGAGACUCAGCCACAAAAUUAAAAGAAAACCAUAAUGGCUAAAUGAGUAGCGACCAACAUCUCCGCUUUGGCAGCAUCCCGGUUCUUUCCGCAGUUACCCGUCUGUAUAUGUAUAUUUAACAUUUUUAAAACUGUUUUCAACCUUUGAUCAUUUUAUAUAUACAUACAUACAUAUACAUAUAAUAUUUAUUUAACGUUUUUAAACUAUUUAAAUUUGUAAUAAUUCGGUUCAUUUAAACACAUUUUGUUAUAACAAUUUUUAAGUGCAUUUCGCAUAAAAUAAAACCUCUAUAACGAUUGUAUUGAAUCUAGUGCAUUUUUCUUUUUAACAAAAAGUGUGAGUGGCCUAUAAGGUGAGUUUUUGUACACAUAAUACUUAUUUUCAUACGAAUAUGCAAUUUUUCCUAUUAACCUUGGCAUCAAAGAAUUCUUCGUGAACUGUGGCAUCGAAGAAUUCAUCGUUAACUGUGGCAUCGAAGAAUUCUUCGUUUACUUUGGCAUCAAAGAAAUCUUCGUUAACUAUGGCAUCGAAGAAUUCAUCGUUAACUGUGGCAUCAAAGAAUUCCUCGUUUACUUUGGCAUCGAAGAAUUCUUCGUCCCAUGGUAAGCGUAAAAGGUGAUCUGUUACUUUUCGUAGGACAUCGCCGUGUUAAUUUUCAUCGGUCGGGGUAAGCGAUACAAUCAUGCUGUAUCGUUUACCUUGCUCGCUUACCAAUGUCUACCAUAUCCCGCUGGGUAG